AACGAACGCUGGCGGCAGGCUUAACACAUGCAAGUCGAACGCCCCGCAAGGGGAGUGGCAGACGGGUGAGUAACGCGUGGGAAUCUACCCAGAUCUACGGAACAACAGUUGGAAACGACUGCUAAUACCGUAUACGCCCUACGGGGGAAAGAUUUAUCGGAUUUGGAUGAGCCCGCGUUGGAUUAGCGAGUUGGUGGGGUAAUGGCCUACCAAGGCGACGAGCCAUAGCUGGUCUGAGAGGAUGAUCAGCCACACUGGGACUGAGACACGGCCCAGACUCCUACGGGAGGCAGCAGUGGGGAAUAUUGGACAAUGGGCGCAAGCCUGAUCCAGCCAUGCCGCGUGAGUGAUGAAGGCCUUAGGGUUGUAAAGCUCUUUCACCGAUGAAGAUAAUGACGGUAGUCGGAGAAGAAGCCCCGGCUAACUUCGUGCCAGCAGCCGCAGUAACAC
rnacentral:rRNA from 1 species